rnacentral:rRNA from 1 species
CCUACGGGAGGCAGCAGUGAGGAAUGUUGGUCAAUGGACGAGAGUCUGAACCAGCCAAGUAGCGUGAAGGAUGACUGCCCUAUGGGUUGUAAACUUCUUUUAUAUGGGAAUAAAAUGUUCCACGUGUGGGAUUUUGUAUGUACCAUAUGAAUAAGGAUCGGCUAACUCCGUGCCAGCAGCCGCGGUAAUACGGAGGAUCCGAGCGUUAUCCGGAUUUAUUGGGUUUAAAGGGAGCGUAGGUGGAUUGUUAAGUCAGUUGUGAAAGUUUGCGGCUCAACCGUAAAAUUGCAGUUGAAACUGGCAGUCUUGAGUACAGUAGAGGUGGGCGGAAGUCGUGGUGUAGCGGUGAAAUGCUUAGAUAUCACGAAGAACUCCGAUUGCGAAGGCAGUUCACUGGACUGCAACUGACACUGAGGCUCGAAAGUGUGGGUAUCAAACAGGAUUAGAUACCCGAGUAGUC